GAAUAUUGCACAAUGGGCGCAAGCCUGAUGCAGCGACGCCGCGUGGGGGAUGACGGCCUUCUGGUUGUAAACUCCUUUCGACAGGGACGAAGCGUUAUAGUUACGGUACCUGUAGAAGAAGCCCCGGCUACCUACGUGCCCUCAGCCGCGGUAAUACGUAGGGUGCGAGCGUUGUCCGGAAUUACUGGGCGUAAAGAGCUCGUGGGGGGGUUGUGGCGUCGGCGGGGAAAUCCCGGGGCUUAACCUCGGGCGUGCAGGCGAUACGGGCAUAACUUGAGUGAUGUAGGGGAGACUGGAAUUCCUGGUGUAGCGGUGAAAUGCGCAGAUAUCAGGAGGAACACCAAUGGCGAAGGCAGGUCUCUGGGCAGUAACUGACGCUGAGGAGCGAAAGCAUGGGUAGCGAAC
rnacentral:rRNA from 1 species